AUGGUGGUGAGGAACCACUUGAGAACAGGAAACAUGAGAACUUCCAUUGUUUCUCUGUGAUGGUUACUGCAUUGGGCACAUAAAAUCCAAGGAAUGAGAAUAACAGGAAAUAUGCUUAUUUUUGUAAAUCAGAGCCGGCCCCUCGUAAGAAACUAACAUAACAAUGAUUUUUGGCUUCUUUCUUGACCUCAUCCAUGGAAGUUGUACUAUAAAAAUAUGAGGUAUCAUGGGAAGUCAUAUCUCACUGCAGAAGGAGAAUCCACUGGCGAGGAGGGAAAGAGCAGAGGAAAAGGAAGGAAGACACUGAAAUGGCGAACCACAAACCAGCCUUGUUCCUCAGCUCAAUUUUGAUGCUCUCGCUUGUCCUCGCUGUCUCCAUGGCUGAAAGCCGAAUUCUUGGAUUGACAGGAUCCCUCAAGGGCAAGACUCCAGAAUGUGAUGAAGUGUUUGGAGUGGGAAGUGGAGACAAUUGCUUUGACAUUACACAAACAUUCAAUUUGACCACCAAAUUGUUUGACUCUAUCAACCCUAAUCUCAACUGUGAUGCUCUCUUCGUGGGUCAAUGGCUAUGUGUUGCAGGAUCAGCUUGAAGACUGAAUUAAGUUGUUAAUCAGUUGCUUAUCCUUUCCAAGGCAUCUCGAAAUAAACAAGUAUUGUAUGAAUAAGGAGAUUAUGAACUCCAUUUAUUUCCUUG